UACGUAGGGACCGAGCGUUGUCCGGAAUCAUUGGGCGUAAAGAGCGUGUAGGCGGCCACUUAAGUCUUGCGUGAAAUCUUGCGGCUCAACCGCAAGCGGUCGUGGGAAACUGGGUGGCUAGAGUGCGGGAGAGGAGAGUGGAAUUCCUGGUGUAGCGGUGGAAUGCGCAGAUAUCAGGAAGAACACCCGUGGCGAAGGCGGCUCUCUGGAACGCAACUGACGCUGAGGCGCGAAAGCUAGGGGAGCAAACAGG
rnacentral:rRNA from 1 species